rnacentral:lncRNA from 10 species
UAGCGCAGACGGCGGAGAGCAGAGAGGGAGCGCGCCUUGGCUCGCUGGCCUUGGCGGCGGCUCCUCAGGAGAGCUGGGGCGCCCACGAGAGGAUCCCUCACCCGGGUCUCUCCUCAGGGAUGACAUCAUCCGUCCACCUCCUUGUCUUCAAGGACCACCUCCUCUCCAUGCUGAGCUGCUGCCAAGGGGCCUGCUGCCCAUCUACACCUCACGAGGGCACUAGGAGCACGGUUUCCUGGAUCCCACCAACAUACAAAGCAGCCACUCACUGACCCCCAGGACCAGGAUGGCAAAGGAUGAAGAGGACCGGAACUGACCAGCCAGCUGUCCCUCUUACCUAAAGACUUAAACCAAUGCCCUAGUGAGGGGGCAUUGGGCAUUAAGCCCUGACCUUUGCUAUGCUCAUACUUUGACUCUAUGAGUACUUUCCUAUAAGUCUUUGCUUGUGUUCACCUGCUAGCAAACUGGAGUGUUUCCCUCCCCAAGGGGGUGUCAGUCUUUGUCGACUGACUCUGUCAUCACCCUUAUGAUGUCCUGAAUGGAAGGAUCCCUUUGGGAAAUUCUCAGGAGGGGGACCUGGGCCAAGGGCUUGGCCAGCAUCCUGCUGGCAACUCCAAGGCCCUGGGUGGGCUUCUGGAAUGAGCAUGCUACUGAAUCACCAAAGGCACGCCCGACCUCUCUGAAGAUCUUCCUAUCCUUUUCUGGGGGAAUGGGGUCGAUGAGAGCAACCUCCUAGGGUUGUUGUGAGAAUUAAAUGAGAUAAAAGAGGCCUCAGGCAGGAUCUGGCAUAGAGGAGGUGAUCAGCAAAUGUUUGUUGAAAAGGUUUGACAGGUCAGUCCCUUCCCACCCCUCUUGCUUGUCUUACUUGUCUUAUUUAUUCUCCAACAGCACUCCAGGCAGCCCUUGUCCACGGGCUCUCCUUGCAUCAGCCAAGCUUCUUGAAAGGCCUGUCUACACUUGCUGUCUUCCUUCCUCACCUCCAAUUUCCUCUUCAACCCACUGCUUCCUGACUCGCUCUACUCCGUGGAAGCACGCUCACAAAGGGCUAAUCUCGGGCCUUGUCGAAGGAAGAGGCUGCAGACGUUAAUGAGGUUAGCUGCUGGAUUCCAGUAUUCGUCGCAUAAGGAUCCUUCUUUGUCUGCGAAGGAAAAACACACUGAUUAUCAUAAUGAGGUGAACUGGCCACCGCCGGGCCGGGGCGAUGUGGCUUCUUAAGCCACACUUCUAAUUUUGGUGAUGGAGCCGACAUUUCUUUGGCUUCUCAUUUAAGUCUUUGCCUCUGUCCCAGUGCGAAGUCCAUUCAGCGGGGUUGAAAGUUGCAGGCAGCUUUGGGAAGGGGGGCGUCGGACAGGGUUGCAUUGUAGAAAGUGGCUUUGUUCGAUCCUUCGCACAGAUGCAAAUGGCCAGAGCAUUCAUUCCCUUUCUUCAAGAGCUGAGGACUGGGGGGGCCACUGGUGAUCAGUUCCCAACUCUAGCUCUCCUCUGACUCAUCUCAGGACCCAUUGAGGACAUCCAAAACUCACUCAAGAUCACCAAGUGGUAGGAAAGUACUAACUCCUGGGCAUAGCCCUAGGGGAGUGACUACAAUGUGAAUACUCAUGGAAUGCCUAGCCAGGUGAAGAAGUGAAUGCAUGUUGGCAUCCCAGAGGGACCCCCCUUAAGAGGGCAUAGUUUGGGGUUCAGAUUUGACUCCAGCAUACUGUUGAAAUUGGGCACAGGGGGCUAGUGAUUAGUCAGGAUCAAUCAGUGGAGAGGAGAUUAAAACUCACAUCUGGGAGUCCGGAAUCAGAACUUGUAGUUCUUUUUUUUGAAAUGGAGUCUCGCUCUGUCGCCCAGGCUGGAGUGCAGUGGCGUGAUCUCGGCUCACUGCAACCUCUGCCUUCCGGGUUCAAGCAAUUCUCCCACCUCAGCCUCCUGAGUAGCUGGGAUUACAGGCGCCCACCACCACAGCCGGCUACUUUUUGUAUUUUUAGGAGAGACGGGGUUUCACCAUGUUGGUCAGGCUGGUCUUGAACUCCUGACCUCAUGAUCCACCUGCCUUAGCCUCCCAAAGUGCUGGGAUUACAGGCGUGAGCCACCAUGCCCAGCCCUAUAGUAGUUCUUCUUUUGCCCCUUAAUAUCUUCACCCACAUGUCCUGUACCCUGCCUGAACCCUCCUCCUCUUUUUGUUCUGAUCUUUGAGCUCCCUAGAGCCCAUAAUUCUUUAGAGCAGGUAUGUCCCGAGUCUGAAACAUGCCCUUAUUUGUCCCAAGCUCUGGACAUUUCUCACCCCAAGGCGGAUCAAUCAUGAUUAAAUCACUCCAAUUAAACUUUAGGCUCCAGUCAGACCUUCAGCCAAAUGGAAAAAAAAACUAGGGGAUAAGGGAGGUAGUUGGAGCAAGAAAAUGUUAUUAGUUGAAACCUUACGGGACCUUCCUCCCUUAGUGAGUCUGUUGGCUAAAGGUUCUCUGGCUUCGUGAAUUAGAAUCGGAUACUGUUUCCAAGUUAGCAAAACCAACUCUACCCCAGCACCCCACGAGGAAGAAUGUGGAAGGAUCUCCCAUUGGCCGGUUGGGGCAAAAGCCUGAGGCAAUCUUUCAUCCCCUUUUGCCAAGGCGAGACUUUCCCAGUGACGGUGAUGUAGUUGGCCACUCUGACUAUGGGUGGACUCGGGUGUAGACCUCUGAAGCUGAGAUCACACGAAAACCUGGCCUCCCCGCCAUGUAGCUGUUGGAGAGUAGAAAAAUAGAGCACGCCUGAUGUUUCUAAAUGAGAAGACUUUCAAUAGUAAUGAAGAAUCCAUGGCACUCUCCUCACCCUCAAACACAUGGCAGUCAUUCACAUACAGGCCCCAAAGCCACUGUUAGUGCUGCAGUAGCUCCUGUGGACAUUGGAAAGCCCGGAGAGGGCGUGGAAGAAAUCAGCUGGCCCCCGGCAGGUUCUCUGGGGUUUUGUGCCCAAGGCUCCUGGAGCCCUAAAAACUUUCAAAAGUUAACUCCCCACGUCCCCAUCCUGCUUGGGUUUCUGGAC